AAACCGAAAUUUGAAUUAGCUUGUACUAGGCAUAACACUUUGAGUGACAUGACGCUGGUGAAAGACUAACGUAGGAAAAUCUUCAAGCCGGAUACAUGUGUUCAAGAGCUCUAACUCUGCAAUGAAAGGAGAGGACGGAGUGCUUAUUGAUUCACAUUACAGAAGCGCAGGAUGUUACUGGCUUUCCCCAUGUACCUUUCAGUGUCGUCUAAGGACAAUCAGCUCUCAAGUUAAGUUACAGCAGCUCCAGGGCCUGAUGCUGUUUCUAACCAUUUGGAGGCAAAACAAGCAUUUGUUUCCUAACUUAAAUAUAGUGGAAUCAGCAUUGCAAAUUAGAUUCACACAGUUCAUCAAAAACCACUGGAUUUGGUGAGUAUAAUGUUAAAUCAAAUGACAUUUUCUCCUUAAUGAUGGAGCAAUACAUAAUCAUUAAAAUCCAGAUUAUGUAAUUGCUGGCUUGCAGCCAGAACRUAGAAACCCAUCACCUUGCCAUCUAUGGCGUCUGUGAUGCUUUUCUGCUGUUCAUAAUGCAAUUCAGUGUAUUGCUAUCUUCUGGUAAUGUGGUAUAAAUGCACUUCUCACUUGCUUUGUGGUUUUGUAUAUGUGUAUACUAGAAAGUUGCAUUGAUGGAACAGGAGCCAUCAGCAUUAUAAUCUUCAUUUCUCUUUGACAGCUUUUUCAUCUGCUAAUUUGAGAAAGUAUUAUAUAGCAUUUGUUGUCCUAGGUAUACUUCACAGAAAUGAAUAAUCAAACUGUCCAUUAGUUAGGGAAAUACUGCAUGUUAUUAGCAUUGUACUGUUAGUAGUGAACCGACAUUUCAGUCUGGUCCCYUGUUCAAGCUGAUUUCUUGAUCUCUGACACAACUGGGAGGGGGAAAAGUGCAGACCACUAAAGAACAUUUCAUAAACUCAACACCCACAAAACGCAACUAGGGUAUAUCAGUGUUAUUACCAUGCUUUAAGACUUACAGCAAGCUGGGCAGGGAGGACAGCGGAAGCAAAUGGUGUAGCUGACUGACCACAGUAGGAAAUUUCAGAGGGGCACAGUGAUCCCAGAAYGGUACCUGCUCUUUGGAAACGCGCACAGUGCUCACAGCAAAUUAAAGUGGAAAACCUUUGGCCUGGAUUGUCUUGGCUGAUUUAAUUUAUAUACCUUUUACAACUUAUAUGAUAAUAGGUUACUUAUAUAAUUUUUAUAAUAUAAUAAAGGUUAAUUUUAUACCCUUUCA
rnacentral:lncRNA from 1 species